CUUUUACAAUGAAGAGUUUGAUCCUGGCUCAGGAUGAACGCUAGCUACAGGCUUAACACAUGCAAGUCGAGGGGCAGCAUUUUAGUUUGCUUGCAAACUGAAGAUGGCGACCGGCGCACGGGUGAGUAACACGUAUCCAACCUGCCGAUAACUCUGGAAUAGCCUUUCGAAAGAAAGAUUAAUACCGGAUGGCAUACGAAUAUCGCAUGAUAUUUUUAUUAAAGAAUUUCGGUUAUCGAUGGGGAUGCGUUCCAUUAGUUUGUUGGCGGGGUAACGGCCCACCAAGACAACGAUGGAUAGGGGUUCUGAGAGGAAGGUCCCCCACAUUGGAACUGAGACACGGUCCAAACUCCUACGGGAGGCAGCAGUGAGGAAUAUUGGUCAAUGGGCGAGAGCCUGAACCAGCCA
rnacentral:rRNA from 1 species